rnacentral:SRP_RNA from 1 species
GCUGGGCGUGGUGGCACGUGCCUGUAGUCCCAGCUACUCGGGAGGCUGAGGUGGGAGGAUCACUUGAGCCCAGGAGUUCUGGGCUGUAGUGCGCUAUGCUGAUCAGGGGUCCACACUAAGUUCGGCGUCAAUAUGGUGAUCUCCCAGGAGCGGUAACCACCACGUUGCCUAAGGAGGGUGAACCGGCCCAGGUCGGAAACGGAGCAGGUCAAAACUCCCGUGCUGAUCAGCAGUGGGAUUGCGCCUGUGAAUAGCCACUGCACUCCAGCCUGGGCAACAUAGCGAGACCCUGUCUCU